rnacentral:tRNA from 1 species
CAUCCGGUAGCUCAGGGGAAAGCCGCAAGGCAAGAGCGACGGCCGUAGGGCCGGAGGUCGCGGGUUCGAGUCCCGCCCGGAUGCCCA